rnacentral:lncRNA from 1 species
AUUCUUAAAAUAAAUUCAACACUUUAAAAAUACUUUUAAAGAUUUUUUUUCCAAUCAUUUUUUUUUUUCAGUUUAUCUAAAACGGGCUUUAACAGUGGAAAGGAAGAGGGUCAAAGAAAGAGCAAAAGGUGGAGUGUUCUAAAUGAGUAUGGAGAUUCGCUGAGAGACAGUAACCUUUUCUUGGAAAUGAAAGAGAAAAAGGAGAUGUGUCUAUUCUGUCCACUCUCCCAAAACCAAUUUUAUGAGCAAUCCCAUCCUUUUGUGUAGCUUUUUUAUUAGGAAGGAGAAAAGUUAUCAAAAUCAUUUUAAAUUAUAUUUAAAAAUUAUUUAAAUAUUUAAAUUAUUGUAACGAUCUAUUAUACAUUUAUAGUAUGUAAAAAUGAAUUUAUUUCCACCUUAAAAGCUGAUGUAAUAAGAAAAAUUUAAAAGAAAAAUAAGAAAAACGCAUCCAGAAAUCAAAUUAAAGCAAAAAAAAAAAAACAAAAAAUCACUUCUUCUUUCUGCAUUCUUCAUGGAUAAUCUUUCCUACUUCUUUUUCUUCUUCAUGUCAUUGAUCUUCUCUUUUGUAUCUUUUUUCUAAUCAAAACCACUUCAUUUUCUUUCACUAAUCGACUUUUUAUUUUCACAAUUUUUCGUUUCGGGCUUGAACGAAAUUCGCAAUGCUAAGGGAUUUGAUGAUGAAUUGAUAAAAUUGAUGGUGAUAUGUCUCUUAUUUUCUAUAAUUCAAAAUGAAGUUAGAUGUCAUUUUUGAUGAUGUAUGUUGGAUUUACGGUUAUGGGUGUGACUAAUUUCGAUGGUGACAACGAUAAUGGAUCUAGUGGUGAAUGAUUUAGCAAAGUUAUUUAGGGUGAAAAUAAAUUUUUGUUAUGGUUAUUGUUGUGAAUUUCAACAUUGAUAGUGAUGGUGGUUUAAUUUUGAUAAACAUUAAAAUCUAUUGAUGUGGUGUGAUUUUGAUGUGGAUUCAGUAGCAGGUGUUGAAUUUAUGUAAUGUUUCUUUUUUUAAAAUUUUUGAUUGCGAAAAUGAUUGUGAUAUGAUUUCGAUGAUGAGUUUGAUUAUGGGUGUUGAAUUUUGUGGUGUCUCUUUGCAACUUCUAGAGGCAACAAUGGUGGUGAUAUGAGUUCGAUUUGUAAAUUUUACUGUAGCAGCGGUUGUGGGGUGAUUUUGUUGGUGAAUUUAAUCGUUGGUGUUGAAAUCUAUGAUGGUGAUGAUGAUAUGAGUUUGGUGAUGAUGCGACAAUGGUAGAUUUUGAUGAUAGAUAGGGAAGAAGAAGCAACUAGGGUGACUUGGACCCUUUUUUGUUUAAAUCUGAUAUAAAAAUUGAUGUGACAGUGAUAUUGUGAUGACAUAUGCGUGAGUGUGUAACACCUUCCAUCGUGUGACUGAUUUUAUGUGCGUCAGGGUGGAAAUAAAUUCACUUUUAAAUAGUAUAGUUAUGUAUUAAGUCACUCUAAUAGUUUAGGUGUGUCUUAAACUUUCGAGUAUAAUUUAGGAUGAAAAUGAUGACUUUUCGUAUUAGAAAGAGUAGAACCUAAGCAUAUUAUUUUUAUUUUAUGGAGAUAAGAGUGGUUAUUUAUGGGGGAUCCUCGAUUUGAGUAGAGUAAAUUAAAGUAAGUAUAUAAAAAAAAGAAUAUCAGCAAAGAAAAUAAUAAUAUAUUCAAUGUAUUUCUACAAGGUGGGUUUUAGUGAGAAUAAAGUGCAUGCAAUAUGAUCACAGGUAUAUUGACAAACAAAGUACUCCUACCUACUAGUAAGAAUGCAUUCCCAUUGAUCCUUUACUCUAAUUUGCGUUCUCUACACCUUUCUAUUAAGGGUCAUGUCCUCUAUAAAAGGUGAUUGCUUCAUGUCAUGCCUAAUCACUUUUCUAUCACUUUUCUUUAAUAUUUCUUCAGUCUAUCUCUACCCUAUUUGAAACCAUUCAUAGUGAGUUUUUCACAUCUCAGGAAAGAAAACAUAGCAACUAAUUAAUAAAGAAACAAUAAUCUGCAAAUAGUAUGAUAAAUGAAAGAUAAUAAAUAAUAGAUGGUUAUAGAAUCAAAAUCAAUACACUACAAUAAUGAUACUAAGACUAUGACA